rnacentral:rRNA from 1 species
GAUGAACGCUGGCGGCGUGCCUAACACAUGCAAGUCGAGCGAACAGACGAGGAGCUUGCUCCUCUGACGUUAGCGGCGGACGGGUGAGUAACACGUGGAUAACCUACUUAUAAGACUGGGCCAUCUUCGGGAAACCGGAGCUAAUACCGGAUAAUAUAUUGAACCGCAUGGUUCAAUAGUAAAAGACGUAUUUGAUGUCACUUAUAGAUUGAUCCGCGCCGCCUUAGCUAGUUGGUAAGGGAACGGCUUAGCAAGACAACGACGCGUAGCCGACCCGAGAGGAUGAUCGGCAACCCUGGAGCGAGGGCGCGGUCCAGACUCCGAAGGGAGGCAGCAGUAGGGAAUCUACCGCAAUGAGCGGAAGGCUGACGGAGAAACGCCGCGAGAGUGAGAAAGAUCUUCGGAGCGUGAAACUCUGUGAUUAGGGAAGAACAAAGGUGUAAGUAACUAUGCACGUCUUGACGGUACCUAAUCAGAAAGCCACGGCUAACUACGUG